rnacentral:rRNA from 1 species
CGCCAGACUCCUACGGGAGGCAGCAGUGGGGAAUAUUGCACAAUGGGGGAAACCCUGAUGCAGCGACGCCGCGUGAGCGAUGAAGUAUUUCGGUAUGUAAAGCUCUAUCAGCAGGGAAGAAAAUGACGGUACCUGACUAAGAAGCCCCGGCUAACUACGUGCCAGCAGCCGCGGUAAUACGUAGGGGGCAAGCGUUAUCCGGAUUUACUGGGUGUAAAGGGAGCGUAGACGGCAUGGCAAGUCAGAUGUGAAAGCCCGGGGCUCAACCCCGGGACUGCAUUUGAAACUGUCAGGCUGGAGUGCAGGAGAGGUAAGUGGAAUUCCUAGUGUAGCGGUGAAAUGCGUAGAUAUUAGGAGGAACACCAGUGGCGAAGGCGGCUUACUGGACUGUAACUGACGUUGAGGCUCGAAAGCGUGGGGAGCAAACAGGAUUAGAUACCCUUGUAAU